UACGUAGGGGGCAAGCGUUGUCCGGAUUCAUUGGGCGUAAAGAGCGUGUAGGCGGCCAGGUAGGUCGGUUGUGAAAACUGGAGGCUCAACCUUCAGAGGUCGACCGAAACCAUCUGGCUAGAGUCCGGGAGAGGAGAGUGGAAUUCCUGGUGUAGCGGUGAAAUGCGCAGAUAUCAGGAAGAACACCCGUGGCGAAAGCGGCUCUCUGGAACGGUACUGACGCUGAGACGCGAGAGCGUGGGGAGCGAACAGG
rnacentral:rRNA from 1 species